rnacentral:rRNA from 1 species
CCUACGGGAGGCUGCAGUGGGGAAUAUUGCACAAUGGGGGAAACCCUGAUGCAGCGACGCCGCGUGAGUGAAGAAGUAUUUCGGUAUGUAAAGCUCUAUCAGCAGGGAAGAAGAAAGACGGUACCUGACUAAGAAGCCCCGGCUAACUACGUGCCAGCAGCCGCGGUAAUACGUAGGGGGCAAGCGUUAUCCGGAUUUACUGGGUGGAAAGGGAGCGUAGACGGCUGUGCAAGUCUGAAGUGAAAGCCCAGGGCUCAACCCUGGGACUGCUUUGGAAACUGUGGAGCUAGAGUGCUGGAGAGGUAAGUGGAAUUCCUAGUGUAGCGGUGAAAUGCGUAGAUAUUAGGAGGAACACCAGUGGCGAAGGCGGCUUACUGGACAGUAACUGACGUUGAGGCUCGAAAGCGUGGGGAGCAAACAGGAUUAGAUACCCUGGUAGUC